rnacentral:rRNA from 1 species
CCAAUAGCGUAUAUUAAAGUUGUUGCAGUUAAAAAGCUCGUAGUUGAAUUUUGGGUCUGGCCGGGCGGUCCGCCCUCUGGGUGAGUACUGUUCCGACGUCGGGCCUAUCCUUCUGGUGAGUCGGCAUGUCCUUUAUUGGGUGUGUCGGGGAACCAGGACCAUUACCUUGAAAAAAUUAGAGUGUUCAAAGCAGGCGUAUGCUCGGAUACAUUAGCAUGGAAUAAUGAAAUAGGACGCGUGGUGCUAUUUUGUUGGUUUCUAGAACCGCCGUAAUGAUUAAUAGGGAUAGUUGGGGGCAUUAGUAUUCAAUUGUCAGAGGUGAAAUUCUUGGAUUUAUUGAAGACUAACUUCUGCGAAAGCAUUUGCCAAGGAUGUUUUCAUUAAUCAAGAACGAAAGUUAGGGGAUCGAAGACGAUCAGAUACCGUCGUAGUCUUAACCAUAAACUAUGCCGACUAGGAAUCGGGCGAUGUUAUUCUCAUGACUCGCCCGGCGCCUUAUG